rnacentral:misc_RNA from 1 species
GAAAUGCGAUAAGUAAUGUGAAUUGCAGAAUUCCGUGAAUCAUCGAAUCUUUGAACGCACAUUGCGCCCUCUGGUAUUCCGGGGGGCAUGCCUGUCCGAGCGUCAUUUCUGCCCUCAAGCACGGCUUGUGUGUUGGGCCCCGUCCUCCGAUCCCGGGGGACGGGCCCGAAAGGCAGCGGCGGCACCGCGUCCGGUCCUCGAGCGUAUGGGGCUUUGUCACCCGCUCUGUAGGCCCGGCCGGCGCUUGCCGAUCAACCCAAAUUUUUAUCCAGGUUGACCUCGGAUCAGGUAGGGAUACCCGCUGAACUUAAGC